rnacentral:rRNA from 1 species
GAUUGAACGCUGGCGGCAUGCCUUACACAUGCAAGUCGAACGGCAGCACGGGGCAACCUGGUGGCGAGUGGCGAACGGGUGAGUAAUAUAUCGGAACGUACCCAGAAGUGGGGGAUAACGCAGCGAAAGUUGCGCUAAUACCGCAUACGAUCUACGGAUGAAAGUGGGGGAUUCGCAAGGACCUCAUGCUUUUGGAGCGGCCGAUAUCUGAUUAGCUAGUUGGUGAGGUAAAGGCUCACCAAGGCAUCGAUCAGUAGCUGGUCUGGGAGGACGACCAGCCACACUGGAACUGAGACACGGUCCAGACUCCUACGGGAGGCAGCAGUGGGGAAUUUUGGACAAUGGGGGCAACCCUGAUCCAGCAAUGCCGCGUGAGUGAAGAAGGCCUUCGGGUUGUAAAGCUCUUUUGUCAGGGAAGAAACGGUGGUCUCUAAUAUAGAUUGCUAAUGACGGUACCUGAAGAAUAAGCACCGGCUAACUACGUGCCAGCAGCCGCGGUAAUACGUAGGGUGCAAGCGUUAACCGGAAUUACUGGGCGUAAAGCGUGCGCAGGCGGUUAUGUAAGUCAGAUGUGAAAUCCCCGGGCUUAACCUGGGAAUGGCAUUUGAGACUGCAUGGCUAGAGUGUGUCAGAGGGGGGUAGAAUUCCACGUGUAGCAGUGAAAUGCGUAGAGAUGUGGAGGAAUACCGAUGGCGAAGGCAGCCCCCUGGGAUAACACUGACGCUCAUGCACGAAAGCGUGGGGAGCAAACAGGAUUAGAUACCCUGGUAGUCCACGCCCUAAACGAUGUCUACUAGUUGUCGGGUCUUAAUUGACUUGGUAACGCAGCUAACGCGUGAAGUAGACCGCCUGGGGAGUACGGUCGCAAGAUUAA